rnacentral:rRNA from 1 species
AUUGAACGCUGGCGGCAUGCCUUACACAUGCAAGUCGAACGGUAACAGGUCUUCGGGUGCUGACGAGUGGCGAACGGGUGAGUAAUACAUCGGAACGUGCCUAGUAGUGGGGGAUAACUACUCGAAAGAGUGGCUAAUACCGCAUGAGAUCUACGGAUGAAAGCAGGGGAUCGCAAGACCUUGUGCUACUAGAGCGGCCGAUGGCAGAUUAGGUAGUUGGUGGGAUAAAAGCUUACCAAGCCGACGAUCUGUAGCUGGUCUGAGAGGACGAUCAGCCACACUGGGACUGAGACACGGCCCAGACUCCUACGGGAGGCAGCAGUGGGGAAUUUUGGACAAUGGGCGCAAGCCUGAUCCAGCAAUGCCGCGUGCAGGAUGAAGGCCUUCGGGUUGUAAACUGCUUUUGUACGGAACGAAAAGCCCUGGGUUAAUACCCUGGGGUCAUGACGGUACCGUAAGAAUAAGCACCGGCUAACUACGUG